rnacentral:rRNA from 1 species
AUUGAACGCUGGCGGCAGGCCUAACACAUGCAAGUCGAGCGGAUGAAGGGAGCUUGCUCCUGGAUUCAGCGGCGGACGGGUGAGUAAUGCCUAGGAAUCUGCCUGGUAGUGGGGGAUAACGUCCGGAAACGGGCGCUAAUACCGCAUACGUCCUGAGGGAGAAAGUGGGGGAUCUUCGGACCUCACGCUAUCAGAUGAGCCUAGUUCGGAUUAGCUAGUUGGUGGGGUAAAGGCCUACCAAGGCGACGAUCCGUAACUGGUCUGAGAGGAUGAUCAGUCACACUGGAACUGAGACACGGUCCAGACUCCUACGGGAGGCAGCAGUGGGGAAUAUGGGACAAGGGGCGAAAGCCUGAUCCAGCCAUGCCCGUGUGUGAAGAAGGUCUUCGGAUUGUAAAGCACUUUAAGUUGGGAGGAAGGGCAGUAAGUUAAUACCUUGCUGUUUUGACGUUACCAACAGAAUAAGCACCGGCUAACUUCGUG